rnacentral:misc_RNA from 1 species
UGGUUUUUUGCUCAGCUGACUGGGAUCUGUUUCUGCUUUUAUUUUAUAAAAAAUCAUCAUUUUCCAUAACCAACUUUGGGUAAUCAUUGAUCAUAUUGAUCAUGAAUAAUAAUAAUAUUAUGAAGUUUUUUGUGGUAUAAAUUUUCUCAAACGUUAGAGUUCCUGAAAUUCAUUUCAUAAAUCACUUUAAACCUUAACAAAUGCUGCUGAAUAAAUGUUAUUUCAUCAGGUGUUUUCUGCA